GGGCUUGUGGUUUAGUGGUAUAAUACUCCCUUAGCAUUGAUAAGGUGUUUCUCUCCUCAAAGAGAACAUUCAGUGAUUGGGAGUGGUCCGGGGUUCGAUUCCCCGCGAGUCCA